UACGUAGGGUGCGAGCGUUAAUCGGAAUUCUGGGCGUAAAGCGUGCGCAGGCGGCGCGUUAAGACAGGUGUGAAAGCCCCGAGCUUUAACUUGGGAAUUGCGCUUGUGACUGGCGUGCUGGAGUGUGGCAGAGGGAGGUGGAAUUCCACGUGUAGCAGUGAAAUGCGUAGAGAUGUGGAGGAACACCGAUGGCGAAGGCAGCCUCCUGGGCCAGCACGUGACGCU
rnacentral:rRNA from 1 species